rnacentral:rRNA from 1 species
UGGGGAAUCUUGGACAAUGGGGGCAACCCUGAUCCAGCGAUGCCGCGUGGGUGAAGAAGGCCUUCGGGUUGUAAAGCCCUUUAGGCGGGGAAGAAGUUGAUGGGAUGAAUAAUUCUGUUGAUUGACGGUACCCGCAGAAUAAGCACCGGCAAACUCUGUGCCAGCAGCCGCGGUAAUACAGAGGGUGCGAGCGUUAAUCGGAUUUACUGGGCGUAAAGGGCGCGUAGGCGGAUAGGUGAGUGUGAUGUGAAAGCCCCGGGCUCAACCUGGGAAGUGCAUCGCAAACGACCUAACUGGAGUAGGUGAGAGGGUGGCGGAAUUUCCGGUGUAGCGGUGAAAUGCGUAGAGAUCGGAAGGAACGUCAAUGGCGAAGGCAGCCACCUGGCACCAUACUGACGCUGAGGCGCGAAAGCGUGGGGAGCGAACAGG